AAGAAGAGCCUUUCACCUCUAGCCAUGAUUCUGAGAACUUCCCAGCCAUGUGGAACUAUCCAUCUACAAGUAUAUUUUUUCAUUACAAAUAAUUCAAGAAAAAGAAAUCAUUGAAGAUAAAUGAAACAUUGUAUUACAUUUUAUGCCAGAUUCAGCUUCUUGAGAGCAGUGUCUGUUUCUUACUUUGUUGCAAAUGUACAUUCACCAAUCAGGCACUUGUUAAAAAGUGCUUGAAACGGCAAAUAAUAAAGACGACUACUUUUCAGAUAUUGUAUCUCAGCAGAGAUGCUGAAAAAAGAAAGAGAGAAGAAUGAGGUCUUUGCAGAAAGAUUGGAAGAUGAAGAGGAGAUAAGUAGAGAAAGAAAGCACCAGGAUGGAAAAAUAUGGGUCUUGCCUUCACCAAAUGAACUUGUGUUUCAAAACA
ensembl:lncRNA ZNF385D-AS2 ZNF385D antisense RNA 2